rnacentral:lncRNA from 1 species
CCCCCCAGGCGGCCGACCGGGUUAUAAAUAAGGGGGGAGGGGAUUCAGACGGGGGGGGGGGGGCCAGUGUCAAUCCACUUCCCGUGCCCGGUGGUAUGGGGGACAAAAGAGUGCCCAGCGUUUGGUGCCCAGCGGCCCUCCCCCCCAGGCAGCCGACCGGGUUAUAAAUAAGGGGGGAGGGGAUUCAGACGGGGGAGGAGGCCAGUGUCAAUCCACUUCCCGUGCCCGGUGGUAUGGGGGACAAAAGAGUGCCCAGCGGCCGCUCACUCACCCUCUCGGAUCCACACUUUCCCCCUGUGGGGAGGGGCGGGGUCGGACCCCAGAGAAGGAACCUCUGGCCCCCGGUCCCGGCGCUGGAGCGAGGCGGGUCCGCCCAGCUGCUCCUGACCUCACACUCGAUGGGUUCGUGCGUACGUUUUGUGAUCUCUGAGAGGUCUGAUAGCCCAUUCUGCAGAGAUUACAGACAGGGCCUUACAGUGGGUGCCAUUCCAGAGCAUUCACAAACUACAGAGGUAAGUCACUUGGAUCUCCAGUGGCGAGCUAGCUCUUGGUUUUUCUUACAUCGCCUUUCCAGUAUAACUAACAGAACUUCUCUGGGGGGUUGCCAUUUGUCUCCUUUCUGAACUGGAUUUUAGAUCGGGUCAGGGCCCUCAUGUCUUGGACGUGGUUUCAUAGGGAAGUUAGGUGGCUCUUGUAGAAUCUGCUUCCCCAACAGUAGAUCUGAGUGUGGCCGCACCAGCCUGCGGCAGGUUGCUCCGUCUCCAGUUGUCCAUGCACAUCCCUUCCCCCCACCUCCUACAGUCGUGGCCUUGACUCUGUUUCCCCUUGGGUUUCAGGUCCAGGUUGCCUAGCUCAUUUUCCAGUCACUUAGUCUUUGAGGAAAUAUUUUUUAGGCUUCUACAACUAGGUGAACUCAGCUAGAUUAUUAUGUAUUAUUUUGGGCCCUGGGGAAGAAGCCUCCUUUCUGGAGCAUUUCUUUAUCCUCUACAAUGUAAAAAAAAAAAAUGUAAAUAAAAUGAGCAUGGUACAUUGCCA